ensembl:snoRNA
AAACACACACAACACCCAGUUUAAUUUUUGCAAGUUUGUUUUGGUGGCUAUGCUUAUGGGAUAGAUUAAAAUUGCCAUGAUCUGAAGAGGGAGGAUUUAUUUGUGUCCUCCUCCUAUAUGAAAUGGCUGAACAGACCAAA